UAGGGAAUCUUCCGCAAUGGACGCAAGUCUGACGGAGCAACGCCGCGUGAGUGAAGAAGGUUUUCGGAUCGUAAAACUCUGUUGUUAGAGAAGAACAAGUGCUAGAGUAACUGUUAGCGCCUUGACGGUAUCUAACCAGAAAGCCACGGCUAACUACGUGCCAGCAGCCGCGGUAAUACGUAGGUGGCAAGCGUUGUCCGGAUUUAUUGGGCGUAAAGCGAGCGCAGGCGGUUCCUUAAGUCUGAUGUGAAAGCCCCCGGCUCAACCGGGGAGGGUCAUUGGAAACUGGGGAACUUGAGUGCAGAAGAGGAGAGUGGAAUUCCAUGUGUAGCGGUGAAAUGCGUAGAUAUAUGGAGGAACACCAGUGGCGAAGGCGACUCUCUGGUCUGUAACUGACGCUGAGGCUCGAAAGCGUGAGUAGCAAACAGGAUUAGAUACCCUGGUAGUCCACGCCGUAAACGAUGAGUGCUAAGUGUUGGAGGGUUUCCGCCCUUCAGUGCUGCAGUUAACGCAUUAAGCACUCCGCCUGGGGAGUACGACCGCAAGGUUG
rnacentral:rRNA from 1 species